rnacentral:lncRNA from 1 species
AGCAAAGGUUUGAUAGAAAUCAGUGGAAGUUGCAGCAAGUAUGUGCUGUCUUGUAAGAGUAGAAUUGUCGUCGAAGAAACAACGGUUUCUCGACGUAAUUUCCACCAAAAACUUGAGAGAAUUGAGGAGGGAAUUGAUAGCAAAAUCACAGUUUAUAUGACAGCAAGGAUAUCUAAUUUAAUCAAGAAAAUUUCGGCAGUAUAACAGCAAGGAAAUUGGUGCAAGUUGCGAUUGCAGAAUUCUCGUCGAAAAAUUUCAGCGGGUUACGAUGAAAAUUUGCAGCAACAUA